rnacentral:tRNA from 1 species
GGCUUAUGAUUAAAUUCUGGUUUCGGCCCAGGGCUAGGGAUAUUUCCCCAUGGGUU